GUCGAGCGAACAGACGAGGAGCUUGCUCCUCUGACGUUAGCGGCGGACGGGUGAGUAACACGUGGAUAACCUACCUAUAAGACUGGGAUAACUUCGGGAAACCGGAGCUAAUACCGGAUAAUAUAUUGAACCGCAUGGUUCAAUAGUGAAAGACGGUUUUGCUGUCACUUAUAGAUGGAUCCGCGCCGCAUUAGCUAGUUGGUAAGGUAACAGCUUACCAAGGCAACGAUGCGUAGCCGACCUGAGGGGGUGAUCGGCCACACUGGAACUGAGACACGGUCCAGACUCCUACGGGAGGCAGCAGUAGGGAAUCUUCCGCAAUGGGCGAAAGCCUGACGGAGCAACGCCGCGUGAGUGAUGAAGGUCUUCGGAUCGUAAAACUCUGUUAUUAGGGAAGAACAAAUGUGUAAGUAACUAUGCACGUCUUGACGGUACCUAAUCAGAAAGCCACGGCUAACUACGUGCCAGCAGCCGCGGUAAUACGUAGGUGGCAAGCGUUAUCCGGAAUUAUUGGGCGUAAAGCGCGCGUAGGCGGUUUUUUAAGUCUGAUGUGAAAGCCCACGGCUCAACCGUGGAGGGUCAUUGGAAACUGGAAAACUUGAGUGCAGAAGAGGAAAGUGGAAUUCCAUGUGUAGCGGUGA
rnacentral:rRNA from 1 species